UACGACUACAUAUCAGGCAUAUCAAUAAGCGGAGGAAAAGAAACUAACAAGGAUUCCCUUAGUAACGGCGAGUGAAGCGGGAAGAGCUCAAAUUUGAAAUCUUCAAGGUUUUACCUUGACGAAUUGUAGUUUAAAGAAGUGUUUUCUGUUGAAGUUUUGGUAAAAGUUCUUUGGAAUAGGACAUCAUAGAGGGUGAGAAUCCCGUAUUUGACCAUUAUUUUCAGCUGUGUGAUACACUUUCAAAGAGUCGGAUUGUUUGGGAAUGCAGUCCAAGAUGGGUGGUAAAUUUCAUCUAAAGCUAAAUAUUGGCGAGAGACCGAUAGCGAACAAGUACCGUGAGGGAAAGAUGAAAAGAACUUUGAAAAGAGAGUUAAACAGUACGUGAGAUUGUCAAAAGGGAAGCGUUUGACACCAGUGUUGUUUUCUCGAAAAUCAAUUAAAAAAGGCUGGAUUUUGUGUUGUAUUGACCUUAAUCAGCUUGCUUCACUCUUUUCCAUGUCUUUUUUUAAUGCACUCUUCGUUUAACAAGUCAACAUCAGUUUCUUUUGUUGUAAAAGGGUCAUUGGAAGGUGGCUUUCUCUUUCGGAGAAAGUGUUUAUAGCCUUUGGCCUCUGCAAUCGGAGAGAUUGAGGUCUGCAGCGUAGAUCCUUCGGGGUUAGAUACAUUUGUGCUAAGUUAUAGCCUUUCAUAGACAACUUGUUGACUAUGAUCAGUCAUGUAGCUUACUCGCUUAUGCUAUUUUACCUACGCUUAGGAUGUUGAGCGCAUGUCUCUCUCU
rnacentral:rRNA from 1 species